GCUCCCUGAUGUUAGCGGCGGACGGGUGAGUAACACGUGGGUAACCUGCCUGUAAGACUGGGAUAACUCCGGGAAACCGGGGCUAAUACCGGAUGGUUGUUUGAACCGCAUGGUUCAAACAUAAAAGGUGGCUUCGGCUACCACUUACAGAUGGACCCGCGGCGCAUUAGCUAGUUGGUGAGGUAACGGCUCACCAAGGCGACGAUGCGUAGCCGACCUGAGAGGGUGAUCGGCCACACUGGGACUGAGACACGGCCCAGACUCCUACGGGAGGCAGCAGUAGGGAAUCUUCCGCAAUGGACGAAAGUCUGACGGAGCAACGCCGCGUGAGUGAUGAAGGUUUUCGGAUCGUAAAGCUCUGUUGUUAGGGAAGAACAAGUACCGUUCGAAUAGGGCGGUACCUUGACGGUACCUAACCAGAAAGCCACGGCUAACUACGUGCCAGCAGCCGCGGUAAUACGUAGGUGGCAAGCGUUGUCCGGAAUUAUUGGGCGUAAAGGGCUCGCAGGCGGUUUCUUAAGUCUGAUGUGAAAGCCCCCGGCUCAACCGGGGAGGGUCAUUGGAAACUGGGGAACUUGAGUGCAGAAGAGGAGAGUGGAAUUCCACGUGUAG
rnacentral:rRNA from 1 species